UACGGGGGGGGCUAGCGUUGUUCGGAAUUACUGGGCGUAAAGGGCGCGUAGGCGGCACUGUUAGUCAGGCGUGAAAGUCCUGGGCUCAACCUGGGAGCUGCGCUUGAUACGGCAGAGCUAGAGGAUGGAAGAGGCUCGCGGAAUUCCCAGUGUAGAGGUGAAAUUCGUAGAUAUUGGGAAGAACACCGGUGGCGAAGGCGGCGAGCUGGUCCAUUACUGACGCUGAGGCGCGACAGCGUGGGGAGCAAACAGG
rnacentral:rRNA from 1 species